rnacentral:lncRNA from 1 species
ACAUCCAGACAAGCAGCCACCAGCUCACCGAGCUGAGGCGUGAGAUGCAGAACCUGGAGAUCGAACUGCAGGCACAGCUCAGCACGGUACGUGGGCAGGAUCUGCGGGUACUUCUCUCCUUGGCACGGGCAGGGAGCCGUAGAACUCUGCUCCUCAACUCCUGGAUUUGUCUUUCCAGAAAAGCUCUCUGGAAAACUCCCUGGCAGAAACCGAAUCUCGCUACAGCUGCCUGCUGCAACAAAUCCAGGCGCAAAUCAACUGCAUCGAGGAGGAGCUGGCCAGCAUCCGCUGUGAGAUAGAGGGUCAGAGCCAGGAGUACAAGAUGCUCCUGGGCAUCAAGAUGCGCCUGGAGCAGGAGAUCCAGCAGUACCGGGCACUGCUGCAGGAGGGCCAGCAGGACCUUGUGUAUGUAUUUCAUAUUAUAGCAAGGGAGUAAAAAGAAAUCCUCAUGCACUUAUUUACCAGUAGAGACUCUUUGUCCCUCAAGCUACAUCAUCAUAUCUUUCAACUGAAUAUCCUAUGUUAGUAGGUUUUGAUGAAUUCUGUCUCUCUCUCUCUUUUUUUUUUUUUUUUUUUUUUUUUUUUUUUACAGUGCCUCCCAAGGAGCUUUCCAAGGAGGUGGAAAAUCCUCCCAGUCAUAUUCUGCUUCCUACUCUCAUUCUCAGUGUGGAGACAUGUCAGGGCAGUCAAGAGUGUGCUAGAGCAGCAGGAGAGACCCUGGCACUGUCCAGCUGAGAUGCACCGACCAUGGGCGGCACGAAACACCCGAGAAUUUCUGCAGCACGGCCGGGGCAGCGGGAAGGGUUUGGAAGACGAGCCUGGUCACCUGCCCCAGCACCCCCUCCUCCUCCCCGCAAUGCUUGGCUUACUCAACUUGUCUUUGGCAAUUCAUUCUUUGUUAAGGGCUCACACUCUGCUGGUAACUCUGCUCUAAUAAACCUUUAUGUCUGCAAUUCAAAUCACAACAUGUCUGAGAAAAUAAAUUUAACCAACCUCACGUGGGUACUUAUCCA